AGACCUCUGCUUCCGAUGGGGAAAGCUUUCCCCUCAACUCUGGAGUGUUUCUAGCCAUUUUAUCUAAGAAUUCUGCCCAGGAAAUAGUUGUCAGACUCCACCUCGCUCACCUCACCCUAUCCAGACACCAGUGUCCUUGCACAUGAGGCUCUUUCCUGCUCCACUGAUGUUGAUCUUGGUCAUGAGACUUGCUUGGGCCAAUGUCAAGGUUCUCCACAGAAGAGACCCAGUAGGAGAUAUUACACAUGGAUACACAAAAUUUAAGAAUUCCUCGAUCCACAUGUGAUUUUUGCUCUCAACUCUGCUCCUGUGAAAGUCCAACAGCCCUCGGAAUAAAUACAAAAUAAAUAAUUUUUCCCCUGAGGCCACCCGGACGUUGAUUUCCCAAAAGAACAAAAAAUUGCUUUUAAACAAAGGAUAAACAUGGAGUUUGGGGAAGUCUGAUUAAACUUCUUUGAAAGUUUUAAGCCAAGGCAAAAGGGGACAAGUGAGAUUGUAAUGGAAUUCAUCUUGCCAGCAGCAUCAUACAGCAUUUG